rnacentral:lncRNA from 1 species
ACUAGGACUCUGCCGCUGUGCUAAGAUUAAAGGCCCCCUUCCCUCUCACCACAAAACGGGUGACCACUCACAGAAGGACCAUCUGGGAACUUCUUUCAAGAACCUUCCUUGACUGCUGUUGAGCAGCCCAUUGUGUUCUGUCUCUUCUGCCAGGCCCUCAAGAUGACCCACCUGGUCUCUCCCGCUCCCACACUGUCAUUUUCAACUUCAUUUUCCCCCAACCCUAGUUUUCUGUUUACGAUUGUAUUUUCCAAAGAUGGCCCCGAGAUUUGCCCUUCUUACAGAGUGACUUGAGACUAUCCACUGAAAGACAGGCUCUGCGCUCCCCGCUUUGGUCUGGGCAGAUUUAUGACUACGAUGGAAGAGACACUGUGUGGCUUCCAAGGCUGUGUCGUAAGAGGCAGUGCAUCUUCUCCCUGGUUCCCUUAGGAUGUUCACUCUACUUCUGCUGUCAAGAAGCCCAAGCGUCCUGUGGAGAGGAGCUGAGGCCCCAGCCCACAGCCUCGACUGAGCUUCCAGCCCACAGCCAGCACCAGGUGGUCAGACACAUGAACGGAUAAACAAGCUGAGGGGAUCCUCACAAUGGAAUACUACACAAGCAGCAAAAAGAGUGAGCUCUUGAGACACACAAAAACUCAGAAGAACCUCAAGGACGUUGUAGUAAGUGAAGGAAGCCAGUCUCAAAGAUGACGUUCUGCGUGACUCCAUGUAUUUGACCUGCUCGAAAAGACAAAAAUGCGUGAUGGAAAAGAGGUCAGUGGUCAUCAGGGUUACGGUGGGGUGAUGGUGUGGCUGGAACGGGAGUGCUUGGAGAUGACGGGACUGUUCCUUCCUGAUGCCGUGGGGGUUAAAUGGAUCUAUACGCGUGUCAAAAUUCAUUGAGCUGUACACCGAAGGAAAAGCGCUAUUUUUAUAAUAUGAUAACUUAAAAAAUAAAAAUACUCUCCCCAAGUGAUGUCAAGGUUGAGUCACUGAUGAUGGGCCAUGUAGACAUUUGAAGGGGUUUGUUCUUCCUCCUCAGAGCAAUGGGGAGCAGGAGGGGGGCCUCCCCGAGAUGGGAGCCUGCGGGAGGAGUCGGACACUGGGG